AGUCAUGAGGCUUUUUCCCUAAACAGACUAUCUUUGCUUCACACUUUAAACCACGCCCCAUCUCUCUUCAGCAAGAAAAAAAAAAAAAAAGUGAAGUGGGGCACAUUUGUUUUGAAAGUUGCUGGUGAGACAGCUAAACAGCUAAGAGCACAUACUGACUGCUCUUGCAGAGAACCCAAGUGUGGUUCUCAGCACCCAGAUGGAAUGAUUCCUAACCCAGUCCUCCAGCUCCAAGGCUCCAAUUCCCUCUCCUGGUCUCCUAAGAGGAUUCAAUUCCCAGCGUCUACAUGUGGCUCCUAACUGUCUAACACCAGUUCCAGAGGAUCUGCUGCUCUCUUCUGGACUCCAGUACUCUAAACAUGAGGUGUAUGUCCUUGUCUCACCGAUGAUGGGCUUGACGACUUGUGGCCAACAAGGUGGCACAUACCUGUGUGACUUCAUCUGGCCUCUGUGCUUCGGCAGUCCACCAUGGAUAACAUGUCCGGGCAGCUACUUUCAGCAUGUGACUCAGAAGGAACCACCUGGAACAAAUGUGAAUCUGAUCCAAAUGGCGAUGCCCAAUCCAGCAGAGGCUAAACCUGAAGCACAGCUGCUUGGCUGUACCUAGUCUAGACCAAUUGUCCUGCAAAUCUAUGUGGAUGGAAGACUAAAGCAGAGCAAAAACAAAAGAAAGAAGGUUCGAUAUGACAAUUCAGAAAGGGGCUCAGGGACGCCUUGAAAGCAAAGCUGUAUACGCCGAUUAGGAAACAGAAGCCAGGAAGGAAUACUUCUGAUCCUUACAGUUCAGGGCCUUUUUCCAGUAGGGUUUCCUGUGCUACUGUAACCCCAUUUUCCAGAGGCAAUUAUAGUUAAUACCUUGUUUUCUCCAGAUGUUUCCCUAGAGGCAGCCGCUACAAGCAUAAGGGACUGUUUCAGUUUCUAUCUCUUUCUCUGCCAACACUAGCUCCUAUCCUCUGAGGCUCAUUUGUAUCUAGUUUUCAAUAUGUACUUAUUCUUCAGUGUAAAUUCUAACUUCCUUUGAAAAGUGGCCUUCUAUUUUAAAGAAAAUUGUGGUAUCUAUGCAUUUGGAGUAAUAAGUGAGCACCUACACAAAUUAGUUCCUUCUACGAUGUUGACUGGAAAUCCUUAAUUUUCAUAUGUAAUUAAUCAAUUGAUAACUUUUAUUACAGUGCUAGAGAGACAACCAUGAUAAACUUCAAUACUGAGCUAUAACCCCCAGUAUUUUCUAGGAAAUUAAAAAACAGACCAGCUGGAAUUAUUCCACAUAUAUAACCUUGAUUCUCAAUUUCCUAUUUUGAUAUGUUUAUACAGCUUAAAUCUCAUCUCUGUUUAGGAUAGGCCCAGGCUCACGAACACCAACACAUUUGUUGAAUGACAUCUCCUAUAGAAAUAAACUCAGGCCCAGCACACACGUGUAAAUUCAGCACUGGGAAGUUGAGAAAAGAUUACAGGCAAGUUCAAGGUCUGCGUGAGAAGCAUAUUAAGUUCCAGGCCAACCUGAGCUUAGUGUGAGGCUUAUCUCAAAAAAUAAGCAAAAAUAAAUGUUUUAAAUUAUAUAAAGUUUGGGAAGACAGUCAAAGCAGGAGAGAAAGAUGAACCCCUGCUGGGGAGCAGGGAAAGGCAUGUGCAUGAAUAUACAGAAUGGGAUGUGAAGAGCAAGGCAAGGGGAUUAAUACCAGCAUUAAUGUGAAUAUAUGUUGCUAUGAUUGAUUUCAUAAAGAAGCUGACUGGCCAACAGCUGGACGGGAUAAAAUUAGGCAGGAGAACUAGACUAAGGACACUGGAAAGAAGGGUGGACUCAGGGAUCACCAGCCAGACAUGGAAAGGAAACAGGAGGUUCAAGAUGAAAGAGAGCUAACGCCAUGAAGCAGAAUGUAGAUUGAUAUAAACGAGUUAAUUUAAAAUGUAAGACUUAGCUAGUAACAAGCCUGAGCUAUUGGCUGAACAUUUACAAUUAAUACUAAGUCUCUGUGUUGGUUAUUUGGGAACUGGCAGACAGAAAGAAAAGUCCAUCUACAAGUACCUGGGAGGUAGAAGCAGGAAGAUCAUGAGUUCAAAGACACCCCAGCUACAUAAGAGUAUGUAGGCCAACCAGGACUGACUACAUGAGACACCAUUAGGCCUUUUCAUGAGAAGUUUAACACCCACUUUCCAGGUUUCUGCUACAAGUAUUUUAUGUAUGGCUGAGAAUCAGAGCGGUUUAGGAAGCUACUAUGGUUCCCUUCUCACCUUCUUUUCCUUAGAAGAGCCAAGACAAUUCUGGUCAAAGUUAAGGAAGCAAAAAUGCUGCUGGCUGAGAAAUCCUCAAUCCCUGCAGUUACUCCUGUAAGAAAUGGACUAGCCAUUCUGGAAGAGCCUAUGUGGAGGGCCCAGGGCAGGGUUAGUUCAUGGUGGUCAAAAAGAAUGCUACUAUGGCUAGAGGGACAGAAUGCCAAGGGGAAGAGUGGGAGGAACAGCAAAAGAUGGCACUAGGCUUUGGGAAAAUCAGAAAGCUGUAACUGAUCAGAAAAAGUAACGGAUACUUUUCCUUUUCUAGUGAAGAUGUUGCUUCUACCUUCUGAAAACUCAGUUUUUCAGAUGCACAGACCUACAGCCUUCCCACAGAUGCCUUGUUGUACAUAAAUGCACAACUACAGUAAAGAAGCCACCAUAUGCUUUAAGACUACUACAGCCGAAAGCUUUGGUUCACACUUAACAUCUAAUCUGAACAUAUAAGGUAUUUUUACUUCUGACUUCUAGAUGAAGAAAGUAUUGGGACGUCUAAGACAGGAAGUGGUUAUGACCAGGGAGGAUAAACAGGGGCCCCAUUCCCAUGUGUAAUGAAGACUCAACUUGGGUGGCUGCCCUUCUCUGGAUCUUUACAGCUUUCUUUACACCUUAGUACGCAUUGGUAAUGUCUAACAAUAAUAAAUUACUUGCGAAGAUUCAGAGAGAUUAAAUAACUUAUCCCCAACUCACAGAGCCAGAGAGAACUCUGUUUAAAUUGCACCUGCAAUUCUGCUAGGUCGCUUCUUGGAAGUGGUUAAAUUUAUCACAGCAUCAUAGAAAGGCUAAAAAGUCUACAAUAUUUGUUUACAUUAAGAUGGGCUCCAGAACACCUGGUGAUACACUCUAUGUACCCAUCUUAUUUGGAGAACAGUUUGCAUUUUAUAUUAUUAUAUACAGAUGUUAAAAAAAGAAUAUCAGCUGGAAAUCCUAGCACUCAGGCAGAAGGUAGAACUGUUCAAGGCCAGCCCGAUCAACAUAACAGUUCCAGACAGACAGAAGUAGAGACCCUGCCUCAAAAAACCAAAACCAAAUUUCUGUGUUUAAAUCUUUUGCUUAGUCUCAUCUACACAUUCACUAGUACUCAUUAAAUAAACAUUUUCUUAUUGUACUGAUUCAAUCUGGCCAGUGGCUUAUAACUAUAAACCCGUGGACAAGGUCGUCAUGAUAUUUCCAUGUUUUUGCAUGUGUGGAGGGGAGGGAGGAUGGUAAUGGGAGCACGGAACCAAUCAUUUA
ensembl:lncRNA